CGCCCGAACGCGAAGAACCUUACCUGCUCUUGACAUCCACGGAAUUCGGCAGAGAUGCCUUAGUGCCUUCGGGAACCGUGAGACAGGUGCUGCAUGGCUGUCGUCAGCUCGUGUUGUGAAAUGUUGGGUUAAGUCCCGCAACGAGCGCAACCCUUAUCCUUUGUUGCCAGCGAUUCGGUCGGGAACUCAAAGGAGACUGCCGGUGAUAAACCGGAGGAAGGUGGGGAUGACGUCAAGUCAUCAUGGCCCUUACGAGCAGGGCUACACACGUGCUACAAUGGCGCAUACAAAGAGAAGCGACCUCGCGAGAGCAAGCGGACCUCACAAAGUGCGUCGUAGUCCGGAUCGGAGUCUGCAACUCGACUCCGUGAAGUCGGAAUCGCUAGUAAUCGUGAUCAGAAUGCGUUGAC
rnacentral:rRNA from 1 species